CGGGGUGUAGCGCAGCUUGGUAGCGCGCAUGGUUCGGGACCAUGAGGCCGGGAGUUCGAGUCUCCCCACUCCGACCA
rnacentral:tRNA from 2 species